UACGUAGGGGGCAAGCGUUGUCCGGAUUUAUUGGGCGUAAAGAGCGUGUAGGCGCUUUACAGGUCCGUUGUGAAAACUCGAGGCUCAACCUCGAGACGCCGGUGGAAACCGUAAAGCUAGAGUCCGGAAGAGGAGAGUGGAAUUCCUGGUGUAGCGGUGAAAUGCGCAGAUAUCAGGAGGAACACCAAUGGCGAAGGCAGCUCGCUGGGACGGUACUGACGCUGAGACGCGAAAGCGUGGGGAGCAAACAGGAUUGAGAC
rnacentral:rRNA from 1 species